CUACGGGUCGCUGCAGUGAGGAAUAUUGCACAAUGGAGGAAACUCUGAUGCAGCAAUGCCGCGUGGAGGAUGACGCAUUUCGGUGUGUAAACUCCUUUUAUAUGUCAAGAAAAUGACGGUAGCAUAUGAAUAAGCACCGGCUAACUCCGUGCCAGCAGCCGCGGUCAUACGGAGGGUGCAAGCGUUACUCGGAAUCACUGGGCGUAAAGGACGCGUAGGCGGGAUAUCAAGUCAGGUGUGAAAUCCUACAGCUUAACUGUAGAACUGCACUUGAAACUGGUAACCUAGAGUAUGGGAGGGGAGAUGGAAUUAGUGGUGUAGGGGUAAUAUGCGUAGAUAUCACUAGGAAUACCGAAAGCGAAGGCGAUCUCCUGGAACAUAACUGACGCUAAGGCGUGAAAGCGUGGGGAGCAAACAGGAUUAGAUACCCCGGUAGUC
rnacentral:rRNA from 1 species